GGGGGAGUUUGGGGGGCUAAUCUGUUGUUUGUCCCAAUUGUUAACUAGCUUCUCAGGCUUUAUGAUUUUUUUUAAAUUUCUUAAUUUUUGUUUUAUUUUUAUUAAAUUAUAGUUGAUUUACAGUGUUGUGUCAAUUUCUGCUGUACAGCAUUGUGACCCAGUCAUACAUGGAUAUAUAUACAUUCUUUUUCUCAUACAAUCAAGCUUUUCCAGCUGGGUCUUCCAAUGAACCAUCUAAUAGAUCAAAUAUCACUUCUCUAGGAAUGCAGGUUUGGAAGAGCCUGAGCUCUGUGUUGCUCCCUCAAAUAUUGGGAAUGCAGGCUCUUUUUUUCAAGGCUACUGCUGAGUUGGAAGUGGGAGUUUGGAGCCACUAUUCUUACUAAUAUUCAGUAGUUUUUCUUGAAUAAAUGUUUCCUGGGUUGCUGCAAACCUCUGGUUAAUUACCAGAGUUCUGAAAAAAAAUAGAUUCCAUUUUGCCAGUCCCUUGUUGAUGUUGCUGUUGCUUUUAUGGAAGGAUACAUUUCUGGAUGCUAUUUUCAAUACAUAUCACCAUCAGUAAGUAGUAAAUUAACCUUACCAAAACUGAACUAAUGUAAUACAGUCAGUUCACUAGUACUGACCAUUCAAUUUUGUAUACUAACAAAGGGGAAAGUAUACUAAACUUGAUUAAUUAAUUAAUUAAAUUUAAAAUAAGCAAACGCAAAUUAGGCAUUUCGACAUUUCAGCUAUGAAACAUGACUGUAGGUAAUGACACAGGGAUAUCUUCUGCAAAUAUGAAGAACAAUUAAAUAUAAGCACACUUGAGUGACUACUUAGGAGAAACUAUUCAAUGGCAGCUCUAGGAUCUAAAAGCAUAAAUCAGAAUUUUUAAAAUUAGGACAACAAAUUAUAAGACACAGCUAAUAAAGUUAACUCAUCAAAAUGAAAGCUAAUGCUCUUUAUUAGAAACAGCCUGCAUAAGAAUAUUAAACUCACUUUGUACUUAAACUCUCAUCAAGGAUGAUUGAUGAUAAAAGAAAAAACUAAGAGGAAACAUAUUUUUGUGACUGUACUUUUAUUUGCUGAUCCGACAGAAAACCAAAUGUCUACUACACAAAGAAUGAGUUCAUAACGGAAAAACACCACAGCAUCUAAAUUGGCUGUACAUUGUACUAAGUCAAAAACAAACGAAAAUGCUCUCUGUGAAAACAAAGUUGACUUGCUAAUUGUAUUGGUAACUUUGCAUUUUCUUUCAGUUAGAGUUUUAUUUUUAAAUUCAGUCUCCCCAAGUGAAAUGAAGUUUUUUAAAAUCAUGUAUUUCAUAUUUGUCCUCACAGUAAUCGAUGAAGCAGAUGAGAUCAAUAGAAGUGUUCUGGGAGACACAGAAUUCUAAAUUAAAUGAUAAAGUAUGGCUUAAAAUGACACAGACUAAGAGCUCUUUCAGUUGGAUCUUUCAGUAUUAAAAAGCCCACUUUAAUUUGAUACCUUUUGGGGCAAAGACAACAAAGACAUCUAGUUAACGAUAGUGCAUCAUUACAGAAGGCAAUUUAGAAGUGUAAGCAGAGUCAAUCCUUUUCUACAAAGUCAUCACAAACUCCUAGAUUAACUAAAAGGACUACCAUUGUCCUUUAAAUUGUACCACAGGGCUUUAAAAUGCUAAUGUCCCUCUAAGAGUUUGACUGUCUCUCAGGUUCAUGGAUUAAUCCUUAAUCUCACUUAUAAAGACUUUCUGUUGUAAUUACAGUUACUUCUACAACACAAACAAUUUAUUGUCCAUUAUUUUCUGUGUUUUAACUGCAUUUUUUUUAUUUAACUAAUAUGCUCCUGGAGUUCUUAUAUUUCUAUAUCACCCUCUUCUCUCCUUUUUUCUUUUACUCACAAAGUCCUCCUCUCCUUUCGCAUUCCAUCCCAGCUAUUUUCUGGGCAACAAGUGCAUUAAUGCUUUUGAAUGCAGUUUAGAAACUCUCGAAUCUUCCCUAAUUAAUUGAAAGAAAUGUUUCCACUUUACACUGGUUCUGUCCUGUCUAUAUAUAAUUUUGAGACUUCCUCCUAUUUCACCCCUCAUUUUCAAAAACUCACUGUCCGUAGGGGACCACAGAUAGAGAGAAACCUAGGGAACUUUGGGAGACCAAAGUGAUCACUCAAGAAAGCUGUCAGAACAAAGCUGGCUCAAUUAACUAUAAAACCAUAAAUAAAAGCAUGAGCUAUGACUCAGGCCAUUAAGGGAAAGAUAAAAUGAGGCCUGCAUGCAAGUUCAGCAAGAUAAUGAUCCUUAGGACCAAGGACAGGAACUUAAGGGAAAGAUGACAUUCCAAAGUAGGAGACCCUCAUUACACAGAAACCUGGGGUGAUUCAACACAUUUUAGCAUGUGUUACUGCCCUUCUGCUGAUUUGAAUAAACACCAAGACAGUCCUAGUUUGACCUCAGAGGGUCAAAUACUCUCUUACCUGUUACAAAGGAGGAGCUAAUGAUGUAAGCCUGAUGUCUACCCGAAGAAUGAGGAAAAAGGCAGUCUUUUCCCCUUCCCACUUUCCUUGAAUUAGAAAAAUGUAGCCCACCUAAUGAUGCUCGGGGCAGAGCUUCUUUGCCUGCCUGCUUUCAUCUCUCACAAGCUUCCGAUCUUAAUAAAUCUGUUUAUUGCCCAUCACUUUGUCUCUCACUGAAUUCUUUCUGCACUGAGACACAAAGAACCGGAACAUCAGUAAGUCCAGAUGCCAGGCAAGUGAUUCUAAUUAAAAAACCGUAGGUUCAAGUCCCAAUCUGGCUUUUUGCUGGGUUUGAGUCCUGGCACAAGGGUUUACGUCCCAAUCUGUGUUCUGGCUAGGUUCAAGUCAUAAGUGUUAUCGGUUUCAAAACAAUUCACAUUUUAUAGAUUUGUCUUAUUGGAAAUUCCUGUAGCACUUGAAAUUGACCAAUCUUGCCUUACUAAAUGCUCUUUGGCUUCCGUAAUAUUGCACCCUUUUAAUUUUUCUUCUGCUCCUUUGGGCCAUGCUGCUCAGCCUCCUCUUCAGUCCCACCUCCUAUCUUUAUUUCUCCACUGCUUGUUUUCGUAGCAGAUCUCCUAAAGACUCACCUCUUUUUAUGAUAUAUUCUUCAUGUGUGAUUGCAUCUCUCUCGGUUACAAUUUCUAGCUUUAAAUUUAUGAUUCCCAAAGAACCUUUAGCUGGGAACUUUCUCUAGAGCUUCACAUCUCCAAAUCCAACUGCCUUCUGAAUAUCUCCAUGUGUUUGUCUGACAGGAUCCAAAAUAUAAUCCAUCAAAAACUGAAAUCAUUUUUAGCCCCACAGUUUCUGCAUCUCCUCUCUGAUUCUGGAUCCCAGUGAUUGCUGCCACAGAAGCAGCAGAUGUAGUUGGCUACCUCCCCCACAUCCAUCCUUGCCCUUUUCUCCUUCCUAAUAAAAAUGCAGUUGUGUUCAGAUUUUCACCUCCCUCCACGAGACACCUGAGCUCUAGCCCUGGUGUGUCUUGGUUGCCUGAAGAUACUUUAAAUCAAUAAUGGUGGAAUAAUUUCCCUUGCCGGUAAAUGGUUUGCAUGAGCCUAUGAUAAAAUCCUGGACAGUGAGACAAGAGCUGAAGUCGGCUGAGGUGUUUCUGUAAAGGUUUCUCACUCUUAAUAAAAGACACAGAAAGAAACUUCCCCCUUUGUUGCCCUUGAAUGUUGAUAGCCUUGGAUUGAUACCUGAAAAAGUUGCAGGCAUAUUGUGUUUCCAGGAAUAUUUGCCUGAGAACAAACACAUGACAUGAUAGAAGACAGAACCAAAAGAACGGUAAAGAAGCAGAACUAGAGUCCCCUUCCUCAGGCUG
rnacentral:lncRNA from 1 species